UUCAACUAGAGGCCAAGGCCAAGACUUCCAGUAAUUAGGCCAAGGGCUCAGUGCCGUGGCAACGCAUGACGCAAGAAAAGUCACCAAAAUAAAAGAUUGGCCAUAUCGAAACGCAUUUCUCCGGAUAAAUGUCAAACUAUUGUCGCAAGGUGAAAUUUUGUAUAAAUGUAAACAAUAAUAAACUAUUGUCGUAAAUCUCCGUGGAUUUUAACGAUUACCUCACGGUACAAUAUCUAAUACAUUAAAAUCAUUAAAUCUCCGAGGGGUAAAGCCACUCAAUGCUACUUCAAUACAAAUACAAUCCUUAAAAAAAAGGCGUCAAGAUUUCGCAGAUGAUCAAUUCGUAUUUAUCUUCAGACGAGAUGCGUGAAUCACAAAGAUGGGUGAAGACAAUAGCUUAUUUUUGUUGCGUGCUACAGCAAUAAAAUGAUUACUUUAGUAAAUGCGCUUAACUCGUCACCAUCCCAGGAAUGUAUUGUUUUACGGUGGUUUUAAAUUGUUUACGUAUUCUCUUCACCUAAAAAUGCGGGUCGCAUAUCUUUCCAAUCAAAGUAGCCCUGGUUUUAGUUUUUAAUGUAUAGCUAGAAUAUCUUUUCAUCCUAGGAAAAAAGUUAUGCAUGAUUCUUGUAGAAAUGCUCGUUGAAAGUUGAUUCAAAAUAAAUCUAUGGACAUUCAAGACAAUGCAAGUGUUGAAAACCGUCGUUAAAACGCUUCAUGAGUUUUAAUUUUAACUUCCUUUUGCAAGUAGUGUGUACUAUCUUAGCAUAUUAAGUAGCUAACUUUGUGUACUCAUCUUUCUAAAACAAACUGUGUAUACUAUGCCCAUUCUUAAAUGUACGUAUUUAUUACUAUAUAUCCCAAUGUGUAUAUUUAUGUGUAAAUGCGUUUUUUAUUCUGUGCGUUUUGUGUUGUGUUUCAUGGUGUCUGAUAAUAAAAACUUCGAAAUAAAGUCAAAAAUCAACACUCAUA